rnacentral:rRNA from 1 species
GAUCAUGGCUCAGGACGAACGCUGGCGGCGUGCCUAACACAUGCAAGUCGAACGGAAGUUAGAGCUUCGGUUUUAACUUUAGUGGCGAACGGGUGAGUAACGCGUGAGGAACCUGCCUUUCGGUGGGGGACGAACAGUUGGAAACGACUGCUAAUACCGCAUGACACUUCUGGGAGACAUCUCCUGGAAGUCAAAGCUUUAUGUGCUGAAAGAUGGCCUCGCGUCUGAUUAGCUAGUUGGUGAGGUAACGG